CGUGGUGGCCUAGUGGGUAAAAGACCAACCUCAAGUAUGAGGGCGCGGGUUCGAUCCCAGGUCAGGCAAGUACCAAUGCAGCUUUUCUAAGUUUGUAUGUACUUUCUAAGUAUAUCUUAGACACCAUUGACUGUGUUUCGGAUGGCACGUUAAACUGUAGGUCCCGGCUGUCAUUGAACAUCCUUGGCAGUCGUUACGGGUAGUCAGAAGCCAGUAAGUCUGACACCAGUCU
rnacentral:lncRNA from 1 species